rnacentral:misc_RNA from 1 species
GUGAAUCAUCGAAUCUUUGAACGCAAAUUGCACUCUCUUCGGUUAGUAUGCCUGUUUGUGGUCCAGCCUAUAAAAAAUCCACAUCGUUUCUGUUUCGCGGUGGCGUUCGUUGGACAUUGGGUAAUCUUAAAUCCUUUUGGGUUUUAAGCGAUUUAAAAUUUUCUUUUUGGUUCCAUGAACGUUUCUAAGAUUUAUUUCUUUACACGUUUAAGGUAUCGCUUUUUAUUAGACGUGACCAUCAUAUCGGAUCACCUCCAUAAUCAU